UGGGGAAUAUUGCACAAUGGGGGAAACCCUGAUGCAGCGACGCCGCGUGAACGAAGAAGGUAUUCGUAUCGUAAAGUUCUGUCCUAUGGGAAGAUAAUGACAGUACCAUAGAAGAAAGCUCCGGCUAAAUACGUGCCAGCAGCCGCGGUAAUACGUAUGGAGCGAGCGUUGUCCGGAAUUAUUGGGCGUAAAGGGUACGCAGGCGGUUUAAUAAGUCGAAUGUUAAAGAUCGGGGCUCAACCCCGUAAAGCAUUGGAAACUGAUAAACUUGAGUAGUGGAGAGGAAAGUGGAAUUCCUAGUGUAGUGGUGAAAUACGUAGAUAUUAGGAGGAAUACCAGUAGCGAAGGCGACUUUCAGGACACAAACUGACGCUGAGGUACGAAAGCGUGGGGAGCAAACAGG
rnacentral:rRNA from 2 species